rnacentral:misc_RNA from 1 species
CAACCAUCAAGCCCCGGGCUUGUGUUGGGGACCUGCGGCUGCCGCAGGCCCUGAAAACCAGUGGCGGGCUCGCUAGUCACUCCGAGCGUAGUAGUUACACCUCGCUCAGGGCGUGCUGCGGGUUCCGGCCGUUAAAAGCCUUAUUUUACCCAA